rnacentral:lncRNA from 1 species
GGAGUCUUCCUUUUACAGUGCUCAAUCAGCCUGGUCAAGGUCCUGUGGUCAUCCAGGCAUAGAAAGGACCAGAGUCAAACCCAAAGCCAAAGCCAUUGCAAACACUUUUGCUGUGCUGAGUGCUACCCACAACUGUUCUCACAUGGUGCUCUACUGCUUCCCGAAGAAGGAGAAACGCUGGAGGCCACUUCUUUCCAUUUUAUAUCAUGGAUCAGCAAAGUAUGAGGAAAAGCAGCUGGUGAUUUCACAAGGAGAAAAGCCACCCUGGAAGACGUUGUAAAAACAUAACUUUGCCUAUGAAGUGACGGGGUCUCCAAAACCUGAAUAGUAAACAGCGGACCGAGGAGAGUGUGAGUCUGUUCCUCAUUGUGUGACCCCAUGGUGCCCUUCUCCGUAGCUGCUUCUCCAUGGCCCUUCAAAGGAUGUGCUACUGGGCUCA